GAGAGCUGAUGUGAUUUUCCCAGGGUCACAGAGAGUCCCAGAUUCAGGCACAACUCUUGUAUUCCAAGACACAACCACUACAUGUCCAAAGGCUGCCCAGAGCCACCGGGCACGGCAAAUUGUGACAUAUCCCUAAAGAGGCUGAGCACCUGGUCAGGAUCUGAUGGCUGACAGUGUGUCCAGAUGCAGAGCUGGAGUGGGGGAGGGGAAGGGGGGCUCCUUGGGACAGAGAAGGCUUUCUGUGCUUUCUCUGAAGGGAGCAGUCUGAGGACCAAGGGAACCCGGCAAACAGCACCUCAGGUACUCCAGGCCCUCCUGGCUGGAGAGGGCUGUGGCAAUGGAAAAUUAGUGCCAACUGCAAUGAGUCAGCCUCGGUUAAAUAGAGAGUGAAGAAUGCUGGACAGGAACCUCCACCCUCAUGUCACAUUUCUUCAGUGUGACCCUUCUGGCCCCUCUCCUCCUGACAGCGGAACAAUGACUGCCCCGAUAGGUGAGGCUGGAGGAAGAAUCAGUCCUGUCCUUGGCAAGCUCUUCACUAUGACAGUAAAGGCUCUCUGCCUGCUGCCAAGGCCUGUGACUUUCUAACCUGGCCUCACGCUGGGUAAGCUUAAGGUAGAGGUGCAGGAUUAGCAAGCCCACCUGGCUACCAGGCCGACAGCUACAUCUUUCAACUGACCCUGAUCAACGAAGAGGGACUUGUGUCUCUCAGUUGGUUCCAAAUGAAACCAGGGAGCAGGGGCGUUAGGAAGCUCCAACAGGAUGGUACUUAAUGGGGCAUUUGAGUGGAGAGGUAGGUGACAUAGUGCUUUGGAGCCCAGGGAGGGAAAGGUUCUGCUGAAGUUGAAUUCAAGACUGUUCUUUCAUCACAAACUUGAGUUUCCUGGACAUUUGUUUGCAGAAACAACCGUAGGGUUUUGCCUUAACCUCGUGGGUUUAUUAUUACCUCAUAGGGACUUUGCCUCCUGACAGCAGUUUAUGGGUGUUCAUUGUGGCACUUGAGUUUUCUUGCAUACUUGUUAGAGAAACCAAGUUUGUCAUCAACUUCUUAUUUAACCCCCUGGCUAUAACUUCAUGGAUUAUGUUAUAAUUAAGCCAUCCAGAGUAAAAUCUGUUUAGAUUAUCUUGGAGUAAGGGGGAAAAAAUCUGUAAUUUUUUCUCCUCAACUAGAUAUAUACAUAAAAAAUGAUUGUAUUGCUUCAUUUAAAAAAUAUAACGCAAAAUCUCU
rnacentral:lncRNA from 10 species